CUGCCACCUAAUAAAGCACCAGAGACCAGCAGGUGGGAUGGCAAGAUAAAAAAUGAUAUUUAACAUUUUGUAAUAACAAUUAACCGGUAAAUAAUGUCUUUUACACCAUGAAAGCCCAAGUAAAUUAAUUCUUCUAAUUAGCUGCCAAGCAGUGAUGGGGAAAGGCAAGGUGGCAGAGGAGCUGGGGCUGUGCCUCGUCCCGCGGCUGCUCCCGCAUCACCCCAUGCACCAGGGCGCGUGUGCCCAAGCGUUAUUCACCCUAUCACCACCGCCAUGCACCACCUCAGCUGUCCCCAAAUCGAGAGGCUGAGCCCCGCUGCAGCCCCCCCCCGAAUUUCCACACUCGCCGUAUUAACCCCUCCUUAACCCAUGGCACGUAGGGAGCUGCGCAGCGCACCGGAGCACACCRGGCUCCUCGAAGCUCCAGAGGGCCCUAAAUCACUGCUAUCUCCCAGAAAAAAAGUGGCAACAAAAUAGUUUAUGGAYGUAAUAAAUUGCGACGGAGGAAAAAAUGUUUCCCUUGAAACAAGCUGCGCGGUUUCCAAUCUGCACACAAAUGGGCCUUCGUGGCGCGCGGGAGUGUUACAAACAGCCCCUCGUCCUGCUGUAACGAGAACAGACAACAAAACAGUGGGGAGGGAAAGUGGAAUUUAUUGAAAACAAUUUUCCAUCACAUUUAUCCCGCCCACUUGCUCUCAUCUCGCCGCGCUCCCUCCGCUGCUGCGCUGCUGCUGGGUGCCGCGCCGGGACCGAGCCCCACCGGUGAGGCUCGGGGACGUGCACCGGGGACGUGCACCGGCCCGGCACGGGGGUGGCAUCCCCGCGCGGUGCCCCAGCACACCAAGACCCGCUUGGCGAGGCGAGGAACGGGGCUGAGCCAGAAAUCCCGCGCGGAGCUGGAGGGCGGCCAAGGCCCGGCAGCUCCUGGCAGCCCCGGCCGGACUCUGCCCCGUCCCUCCCCUCGGCCGGGCGCGGAGGGGGGGGACGGGGACGAGGACGAGCCAUGGCGGCGGCGAGCGAGCCCCGCGGGGCCUGCUACGACGCCAUCGUCAUCGGCGCCGGCAUCCAGGGCUCCUUCGCCGCCUACCACCUGGCCGAGCGGGGCAGGGACACCCUCCUGCUGGAGCAGUUCCUCCUGCCCCACGCGCGGGGCAGCUCGCACGGGCAGAGCCGCAUCAUCCGCAGCGCCUACCUGCAGCAGCACUACGCCCGCAUGAUGCCCGAGAGCUUCCGCCUCUGGCAGCGCCUCGAGGACCGCGCCGGCACCCGCCUCUACAGGUGACGGACCCCCCCCGUCCCCCGUCCCCGGGCCGCGGCGGGUUUAGGGCCCUGCGAAGCGGAAAUCAGGGAAAUCAGCCCAUAUCUGCUUC
rnacentral:lncRNA from 1 species